UAGCCUCGUCAGCUUGCCCUCCCUCCUUCGUCGCCGUUCUUCUUCUUCUUCUUCUUCUUCUUCCACAUCCCUGUCCGUCGGACCUCCACGUUCCACUGCGUCCACCAUCCUCCUCUGUCGGACUCUUCUUUCAUCCACACCGUCGUCACAGUGCCGCCGCAAACUGUCAUCUUUCUCGCGUCGACGGUCGCCGCAUCGACCUCCAUGCACUCAGCUUCAACUUUUCUGUCUCAAUUUUUUUCCUGAUAUUUUUAUUUAUAGGGUUUACUGAAAUGGAGCAGAGGUUGGCUAAUGCUUUUCAUUUGACAUUAAAUGAAAAGAAGUUCAUUGAAACGGCUUUGCUUUCGGAGCUUCGAGUCGAUGGUCGCCGUCCCUUCGACUACCGUAAGCUCACUAUCAAGUUUGGCAGAGAGGAUGGUGCAUCUGAGGUGCAACUAGGGCAGACCCAUGUGAUGGCUUUCGUAACAGCUCAGCUUGUUCAGCCUUACAGAGACAGGCCUAAUGAAGGCACACUUUUGAUCUACACAGAGUUCUCUCCCAUGGCUGAUCCUUCAUAUGAACCAGGUCGUCCUGGAGAAUUUGCUGUUGAGUUGGGGCGAAUUAUAGACCGUGGUUUAAGGGAAAGCAGAGCUGUAGACACUGAAUCACUGUGUGUUCUUUCUGGAAAGCUGGUGUGGGCCAUUCGAAUUGAUAUCCAUAUAUUAGACAAUGGAGGAAACCUUGUUGAUGCUGCCAACAUUGCUGCUUUGUCUGCUCUCUUGACAUUUCGGAGGCCUGAAUGCACAUUAGGAGGAGAGGAUGGUCAGCAAGUUGUUGUGCAUCCACCUGAGGUUCGGGAGCCACUUCCUUUGAUUGUACAUCAUCUUCCAAUCGCCGUGACCUUUGGAUUUUUCAGUAAUGACAACAUUAUGGUGAUAGACCCAACCCACCAUGAAGAGUCUGUGAUAACUGGCCGAAUGACUGCUACACUAAAUGCUAAUGGUGAUGUUUGUGCGGUUCAAAAGGCUGGAGGGGAAGGAAUCUUUCAACGGGUGAUCAUGCAUUGUUUGCAACUUGCUCAUGUGAAAGCUGGUGAUAUUACAACCAAGAUAAAAAGUGCUGAUUUAGGCUCGGAAGAGGAUUGGCAAUGCUGAGGAGGUUGAUGGGUUGUAUUUCCUUGAAGGACAGAAAAUAAAGAGUUUUUCUCAUUUUUCUUCACUUGAUGAUGUAAUUCUAAGGCAUUAUAGGUUAGGGCAUCCUGGUAGUCAACAUUUGAAAUAUUUGUCACCAAAUUCAAUGAAUAAAAAUUCUUUAUUCUUUCACUGUGAAUGUUGCCAAUUGUCCAAACAUACAUGAGCCUUGUAUCCUUCUCAUCCUCAUCAACUUAGACAACCAUUCACUGUUAUACACUUAUUUAUGGGGGCACUUCCAAAAUUAAAACCAUGUCUGGGGCAUGUUGGUUUACAACCUUCAUUGAUGACCAUCAUAGAAUUACUUGGGUUUUUCUCCUCAAAGACAAAUCAAAUGUUGUUCCAACCUUCAUCAACUCCCAUAAGUUCAUUCAAAAUCAAUUUCAAACAAACAUCAAGAUCUUUUAGAGUGAUAAUAGCCAAGAAUAAAUCAGUUCUUCCUUAAAACGAUUCCUUAAUUCAAAUGGCAUUCACCAUCAAACAUGUGUCAAUAUCCCAUGAUAAAGUGGUGUGGCUGAAUGGAAAAGUAGGCACCUUUUUGAAGUAGCUAGCAAAAUAAUGUUUACUAGAAAUGUUCCUAAUAAUUUUUGGGGCGAUGCUAUCCUUAUUGCUGCAUUUCUUGUGAACAUAGUACCUUCUAAAACUUUAAACUUCACUUGUCCUAUCACAAUACUUGCUGAAACUUACCCAAUGCAUAUCAUAUCCACCUUUCCACAAAAAAUAUUUGGCUGCACAGCCUUUGUUCAUAAUGACCAUGAGGGAAAAUUUGAUUCUCUCGCCUUUAAGUGCAUUUUCCUGGGCUAUAGUUCGUCUUGAAAGGGUUACAUGUGCUAUUCACUUCGGUUACAAAAAUGCUUUGCUUCCAUGAAUGUUACCUUUUUUAAGAACCACCCUUUCUAGUCCAAAAUGCCCAUUCAGGGGGAGAGUAUACAUGAGGAAUGGAGAUCUUUAGAUGAACUAAUACCUAACCCUAGCCCUGAUCUUGAGCCAAAACCAAUUUGAGUGAAAUGAACCCAGAAAGUUCCCUAGACGGAUCUGAACCAGUCUUGGAAAGACCUGAACCGGAUGCAGAAAUGUCCCAUAACAUCCCUGAAACUGAACCAGAACCUUCCCAGAUCAGACCAUACCUGCACUGAAAUGAUUGCAAUGGUGACAAAGGGAAUAAGGGUAACAAAAAAGGUUGCUGGUAAAGCUAAAUCAUGUCUGAAACAGUAUGUAAAACGUACCAAGAAUGGGGAGCAGGUGCAGCAGAAAGAAGAGAAUCAGUUAGAGGACAAGGAAGAGGAAGAAGAACCCAUUCAAUCUUCUCAGCAAAGUCAAGAAUCAGACUUGGAUUCAGAUUCUUAGGAGUUGGAUAAGCCAAUUGCCUUAAGAAAAGGGGUUGAUUCAUACAACACAGAAAGGACCCUUCGGAAGAUUAAGCGUCACUCUGCUGAUGCCUUAGGUGUUAGUGGUUCUGCUUUUAAGUUAGAGGAAAAACAAAGCCAGUCAGAUGCUAAGGAGUAUGGUGGUUGUUUA